CUCUCGGGGGGUACCUAGCGUUUGGAAAGUGUUUCUCAUCUUAUUCAUCUAUUAGUUUGCUACACAGUUACAACUGCAUUUACAUUUUAUGCUUAUAUGUUAAUAAAUUAUAUAUUACUCAUGUUUUAAAAUGGAUAUUUGAAAGUGUCUAAACAUGAUGGCAUCAUUCACGUUUGUUAGUGUUAGUGAAAGAGUCUGCAUGGGGUGACCAGUUAAUAUACUGGCAUAAAUAAUAAAACACAAAGAAUUGGAAAGAAAAAAUGAAAAUAAACUGUAACUGAAACUAUAAAGACAUGAAAUUACACAUAUUAAAAAAAUGUUUCAAAAGACUUCUACAAAGAGCUAAAAGAACACAAACAUCAUGAAUGAGUAUGUAUUUGAUAAAGUCAGUGCCUGCUCUAACCCAAGCCAACCAAUCACAAAGUUCAUUGAAGCAAGCAUACUUAGAGAUGAUAAUUUGCAUUCUGAUAUAGACAGAAACUUUUGUGAUGACCCUAAUUACACUGUGCACUGUCACAAAAACUGUGUACCAUCAUAUACUUCAAAAUCACACCUUAGGAAACUAGGAAAAAUGAACACUUGACCUGUCAAACAAAUCGUAAGUAAAAACAACACUGUCGUUUUGAUAUUCGAAGUUUUGACUCUAAAGCACAUAGUUUGUUUAGUGAAGAUUCAUGUCUUUUAAAAUCGAUAAGAAGCACCCAGAUCGUCAAAACUGAGUAGCUGUGUGUACUAUAACAGACACCAUAAACCAUUUAAUGAAGUCAUACUGGAUGCAUGUGGGGAUCAGUGGGCACAUGAAGUGUCAGUGAAAUACAAGGAUCAGUCAGUGAGUUACAUGUAGCACAUGCUAUAUAUCACUAUGAUUGUAAAACCAAAUUUAUGGCACCAAAGUCAGUACAACUUGCAUGUUCAAGUAGAAAAACAGCUCAAGAGCCAACAUCAAAAGAUUCAGCUCAUGUCCUUGGCUCCCACUGAUGAAACAUCCCACAUGAACGUAAUGAGAGCACAUUUGCAAGGAUGUAAAAGGAAACAUGCAUUAGAAGCCAGUCUGCCACCUAUUGACCCUACAUUAUUCAAACGGUCAAAGGAUCCAGUUAAUAAGACACGACAUCCUGUAAUGUUUCCACCUGGCAUACUACCCACUACAGAAUGUAUACACAAGUUUGUAAUGUGUUCUUGUGCAAGGUGCAUAUUGUCAAGAUGUUCAUGCUAUUCGGCAUACAUACAAUAUUCUGCAAUUGCAAAGGUGGAUCAGACUGUGCCAAUGAGCAUACUAAAAUAAAUCUACAAGGUACUCCAGAUGAAGAGAACUAAAUGAAUUUUAUAAACUUGUAUAUGCAAAUGAUGUCCUUUUUUAUUUAUUUUGUGGCGGUAUGUACAUCAUGUGGAGUAUACUGCUACUGCAGUUAUUCAAGCUUGGGGUUGUAUGGUUGAGAUGUUCACUCUACUGUUAUUCUGAGUGUUUAAUAAUAGUUUUAUUCACUUAUCACAUGUAUAUAUUAUAUAAAUGUAACAUUUUGUA